rnacentral:rRNA from 1 species
GCUUAGAGUUUGAUCCUGGCUCAGGAUGAACGCUGGCGGCGUGCCUAACACAUGCAAGUCGAACGGACUCUUCGGAGUCAGUGGCGGACGGGUGAGUAACGCGUGAGAACCUGCCUCUAGGAGGGGGAUAACAGCGGGAAACGGCUGCUAAUACCCCAUGAGCCGUAAGGUAAAAAGGAAUCCGCCUAGAGAGGGGCUCGCGUCCGAUUAGCUAGUUGGGGAGGUAAAAGCUCACCAAGGCGACGAUCGGUAGCUGGUCUGAGAGGAUGAGCAGCCACACUGGGACUGAGACACGGCCCAGACUCCUACGGGAGGCAGCAGUGGGGAAUUUUCCGCAAUGGGCGAAAGCCUGACGGAGCAACGCCGCGUGAGGGAAGAAGGCCUUUGGGUUGUAAACCUCUUUUCUCAGGGAAGAAGUUCUGACGGUACCUGAGGAAUCAGCCUCGGCUAACUCCGCGCCAGCAGCCGCGGUAAUACGGAGGAGGCAAGCGUUAUCCGGAAUUAUUGGGCGUAAAGCGUUCGUAGGCGGCCGUUCAAGUCUGCUGUCAAAGUCCGAGGCUCAACUUCGGGAAGGCAGUGGAAACUGAACAGCUAGAGGUCGGAAGGGGCAGAGGGAAUUCCCAGUGUAGCGGUGAAAUGCGUAGAUAUUGGGAAGAACACCGGUGGCGAAAGCGCUCUGCUGGGCCGAACCUGACGCUGAGGGACGAAAGCUAGGGGAGCGAAUGGGAUUAGAUACCCCAGUAGUCCUAGCCGUAAACGAUGGAGACUAGGUGUUGCCUGUAUCGACCCGGGCAGUGCCGAAGCCAACGCGUUAAGUCUCCCGCCUGGGGAGUACGCACGCAGUGUGAAACUCAAAGGAAUUGACGGGGGGCCGCACAAGCGGUGGAGUAUGUGGUUUAAUUCGA